UAGUUGCACUACUUGGUCACAGUUUC
rnacentral:piRNA from 1 species